UGGUGGAGUGAUUUGUCUGGUUAAUUCCGUUAACGAACGAGACCUCGACCUGCUAAAUAGUUCGGCGAAUGCCUCGUGCAUUCGUGCGUGACUUCUUAGAGGGACUAUCGGUUUUUAGCCGGUGGAAGUUCGAGGCAAUAACA
rnacentral:rRNA from 1 species